CGGAGGGUGCAAGCGUUAUCCGGAUUCACUGGGUUUAAAGGGUGCGUAGGUGGGUUGGUAAGUCCGUGGUGAAAUCCCCGAGCUUAACUUGGGAACUGCCAUGGAUACUAUUAAUCUUGAAUGUCGUGGAGAUGAGCGGAAUAUGUCAUGUAGCGGUGAAAUGCUUAGAUAUGACAUAGAACACCAAUUGCGAAGGCAGCUCGUUACGCGAAUAUUGACACUGAUGCACGAAAGCGUGGGGAUCAAACAGGAUUAGAUACCCUGGUAGUCCACGCCCUAAACGAUGGAUACUCGACAUACGCGAUACACUGUGUGUGUCUGAGCGAAAGCAUUAAGUAUCCCACCUGGGAAGUACGAUCGCAAGAUUG
rnacentral:rRNA from 1 species